AAAUUCCUUUUCAAUAUAAAAUUUCAACAAAUUCAAGAUUACUAUUUCAACAAUCCACAACCAUCUAUUCAAUGAAGCUGAGCAACACAAACCAAUAUCACCCAAUAUUCAACUAAAUCUCACACAAAUCAAACACAUAUGAUGAAAUAAAAUGAGAAAAUAUGGAAUUAGACCUUUUGAUGACUGAUUUUCGUUGAUAAUAAUAUUUAAGAAAACCCGGAUUUGGAAUCCCGAACAAAAAACCUCAACGACGAACGAACCAAAAUCAGUACAGAGAGAUCCAAACUGAACAUAUUUGAGUACUAAUGAAAAAUAUCAAAACAAAUUACUCCAACCCGGUACCGGAAGCCCCCAAAAGCACGAUACUAGAAGAGAAUCACGAACAAACAAAAUCCCGAAAUCUAAAUGCGAACUAGAAAAUAGUACAAAUCUAAGCUUUGGUGAGCUACCAAGAGCAAAAACUGACAAAAGGAGGAUUAGAUUCAGGUAAAUUUGAAUGUUUCUGAGCUGGAGUCGCCUGAAAACGAUGAAAAAUGGAUAGUUCUGGCGAUGGGUUCGUUGGAAACCUCAAACCCACUAGAUUCGCUAUCGAGUUUACUAAUUUUUGGUGGGUUUUGGGGCGUAACUUGGGCUGAUGCUGUCAUUUUUCGGCGAUGAGGGGUUUCCGGCGAGAAGUUGCCGGAAAGUUGGACUCCUAAUCUGUUUUCCUCUCUCUUAUGCCAUUUUCCUUCUAAAUCAUCCCCCAAUUUUAGUGUUUUCUCCGUACUUCGAUCCUUUUUCUCUCUUUACGUUCAAUCUCGACCCAUUUUCUGUGCGUGCGUGCUUAGUUUUUUUUUGGAGGAGAAGCUGCUUCUCUGCUGUGUUUUGCGUGAGUAAUGGUGGAGAAGAAGUUGUGUCUCUUGUUGUUCUAUGUCAAUGGUGCC
rnacentral:lncRNA from 1 species